GAUCCCAGGUACGACGGGACGCUAAAUAGUUAGCCGAUGGGAAUGAGGUCAAGUUGACAAUGUCCACUUGGCCCGGCAUCGUCAGGCCCUUGUUAUCGUCUGCCAGACUAGCUUCUCCGCGGUGGGCAUCCAUGAGGAGACGUUUCAUCUCGUUACCAUGGUGAGCGGACUUGAUGCGGAUUUGAUACGCUGAUGGACGAUGGAUAUUAGGGACGUGGCUGUGAGAAAGGAACGGGGGCUGAGCCAAGAUGAAAGUUACCCGGAAGAGAUUGCUGACGCCGGAUGCAAACCGGAUACCAAAACGGAUGUCACAAAAAUUUAACGUUUAAUCGCAGUUUUCGAACGGUAGAGGGCGACAGCUAAUAAAGAGCACAGCUGCAUCAGAAGCCAACAGUACAACCAGUGUUCUGUAAGUGAUCCGCGUACCUUGGGACAAGUUGAGGAUGUGCCCCAGGGCUGCCACGUGGACCCGUUAUGGGCACGCGACGGGAGUGCGAUCUGUUUAUCAAGGAAUUAACCGGAUUUUGAGAUUUAAAAGGAGAUGUUCGAUUGAUCUCUUUGAUAUUGGUCAUCUUGUUAAACAUUGACCAGGGAUGCAUUUCCACGGUUGACCCAACAUUAUAUAUGGUAGAUAUGCCCGAUCAAAUUACUUUGAGGUCAAAUCUUAGAAGUGAUUAACCCAUUCAAAGUAAGGGGAAAGGUGAUUACGAAAACGAAAUAAAAGGGAUGAUGAAAAUGAAGUCGAAAA